rnacentral:rRNA from 1 species
AGCGGCGGACGGGUGAGUAACGCGUGGGUAACCUGCCCUGUACACACGGAUAACAUACCGAAAGGUAUGCUAAUACGAGAUAAUAUGCUUUUAUCGCAUGGUAGAAGUAUCGAAGCUUUUGCGGUACAGGAUGGACCCGCGUCUGAUUAGCUAGUUGGUAAGGUAACGGCUUACCAAGGCGACGAUCAGUAGCCGACCUGAGAGGGUGAUCGGCCACAUUGGAACUGAGACACGGUCCAAACUCCUACGGGAGGCAGCAGUGGGGAAUAUUGCACAAUGGGCGAAAGCCUGAUGCAGCAACGCCGCGUGAGCGAUGAAGGCCUUCGGGUCGUAAAGCUCUGUCCUCAAGGAAGAUAAUGACGGUACUUGAGGAGGAAGCCCCGGCUAACUACGUGCCAGCAGCCGCGGUAAUACGUAGGGGGCUAGCGUUAUCCGGAAUUACUGGGCGUAAAGGGUGCGUAGGUGGUUUCUUAAGUCAGAGGUGAAAGGCUACGGCUCAACCGUAGUAAGCCUUUGAAACUGGGAAACUUGAGUGCAGGAGAGGAGAGUGGAAUUCCUAGUGUAGCGGUGAAAUGCGUAGAUAUAUGGAGGAACACCAGUGGCGAAGGCGGCUUCCUGGUCUGUAACUGACACUGAGGCGUGAAAGCGUGGGGAGCAAACAGGAUUAGAUACCCUGGUAGUCCACGCCGUAAACGAUGAGUGCUAAGUGU